rnacentral:ncRNA from 1 species
GCUAGUGGUCGAGGUGAUGAUUUCCCAGCUGGUCAAGCCCGUGUUCAUAAAAAUCUAGCCAACGACUCCAAGACCAAGUUCUCUCGUUCAUUGUUUCUUCCACUCUCCAACCAAUUCAUUGGUUGGGUGGGUUGUUGGCCGGUGUGCGUGGGUGCUACUACUAGUAUGAAAUAGGUAUAUGAGUUGUCUUUUGGUUGUGUGUAUUGGCAGGCUCCAUGCUACUCACAUUGAACUGUCGAGCCACACUCAUCUUCAUUAUCUCUCCUUAUUCUAAUUGAACUCAAGGGGUGCGAUCGGGAUCUUGUGUUGCGUACCUAAGCAGAUGGAAUUAUGAAUGUGUUGUUGUCCCUUCUCAAUCUUGUUAGAGGGACUUUGGCCUUUUAGGCCAAGGAAGUUUGUGGCAAUAACAGGUCUGUGAUAACCUUAGAUGUUCUGGGCUGCACGUGUGCUACACUGAUGUAUUCAACGAGUCUAUAGCCUUGGCUGACAAGACUGAGUAAUCUUUGAAAUUUUAUUGUGAUGGAGAUAGAUCAUUGCAAUUGUUGGUUUUCAAGUAGGAAUUCCUAGUAAGCACGAGUUAUCAGCUUACGUUGACUACGUCCC